GACGAACGCUGGCGGCGUGCUUAACACAUGCAAGUCGAACGGAAAGGCCCUGCUUUUGUGGGGUGCUCGAGUGGCGAACGGGUGAGUAACACGUGAGUAACCUGCCCUUGACUUUGGGAUAACUUCAGGAAACUGGGGCUAAUACCGGAUAGGAGCUCCUGCUGCAUGGUGGGGGUUGGAAAGUUUCGGCGGUUGGGGAUGGACUCGCGGCUUAUCAGCUUGUUGGUGGGGUAGUGGCUUACCAAGGCUUUGACGGGUAGCCGGCCUGAGAGGGUGACCGGCCACAUUGGGACUGAGAUACGUCCCAGACUCGUACUGGAGGCAGCAGUGUUGAAUAUUCCACAAUGGGCGGAAGCCUGAUGCAGCAACGCCGCGUGCGGGAUGACGGCCUUCGGGUUGUAAACCGCUUUCGCCUGUGACGAAGCGUGAGUGACGGUAAUGGGUAAAGAAGCACCGGCUAACUACGUG
rnacentral:rRNA from 1 species